UACGUAGGGUGCAAGCGUUGUCCGGAAUUAUUGGGCGUAAAGGGCUCGUAGGCGGUUUGUCACGUCAGGAGUGAAAACUCGGGGCUCAACCCCGAGCCUGCUUCUGAUACGGGCAGACUAGAGGUAUGCAGGGGAGAACGGAAUUCCUGGUGUAGCGGUGAAAUGCGCAGAUAUCAGGAGGAACACCGGUGGCGAAGGCGGUUCUCUGGGCAUUACCUGACGCUGAGGAGCGAAAGUGUGGGGAGCGAACAGG
rnacentral:rRNA from 1 species